CCGAAGGUGUGUGUUAAUAGAAUCUCUUCUUCUUCCCACAGGGUGAUAGUGGCCAAGAAUCAGAAGUAGAGUUGGAUCCAGUGGCUUGCCGAGCUGGGGGAUAGAGGCAUUGAAUGCUGGAGUAGGGAGAUAUGGGGGGGAUGGGAAGCCUCAGAGCACCUGAACCCAGCCACUUGCACGCAUACACUCCCUAUGUUUCUUUUUGAAGAUGCUGUCAUGUCCUGGCCGGAGAGAAUUACCCUGAAAGAGGACAGAUCUACAAUUAUGCUCAAUCCUUGGGUGGGUGCAUUUCAGAGUCAAAUCACACGGGAGAAAGCGUUCUGUGGUAGUUUUAACACGACUGCAUUUCCAUGUGGUCUCGCCUUGAACCUGGGUGGGCCUUCGUGAUGCUCUGUGACUUCUGAGGCUUGGUGAGCUGAGCCCACACAGCUGUGCCUGUUUCUCUUGGGACAUUUGCUCUAGGGACCUCCAGCUGUCCUGUAAGAAGUCCAGCUAUGCUGGGGCUGCUGGGUGACAGGAAUACAUAGAUGAAUGGGUGAGAGGCCUCACCAGUGGCAGCUUCCAGAAGUUUGAGUCUUUCAAGCCCAGGAGCCAGACAUAUGAAUGAGGAAACCUCAAAGGCUUCUUGAAGAUGUCUCUCCGUUGCUACCGUCUGACUGUAACCACAUGAGAGACCUUGGUGAGAACUGUCCGGCUAAGCUCAGUCAAGCCACAGAAUGAGGAGAGGUGUCACCCUUGGGUGACAAGAGGCUCUGCCGCUUGGAAAUCUAUAAACAGAAUGAUGGUUCUGCAUGGCAGCCAUUUAAAUAGUUGAACCCAGCAACUGUAUCUCCCUUUCCCUCCCUGGAGGCCAACAUCUCCGGUUUCUACAAAUGUGUCCAUGUGGCAUGGUGCUCAAGACCUCCUUGUCCCUCUCUGGGUUCCUAGAACUGAACAGGUACUACAAGAGGUGUGAACUUCAUCAAGCGCAGAGGGACAUUCACCUCUUGUGGCCAGAUCAGUGGAUUGCAAUAUGGCGGCCAUCAGAAUCAGCCCUGGGGGCCAACCUGGGGCUUCUGGGGUAACCGGUCUUGGGAGCAGGCACCUCCCAUGAUCCCAACGUGCAGCUUUAUCAGCCCAGCUCGUGGAUGGCUCCUCUGAGUUUACUGUUGAUGAAAUCGCCCUGGCCAGUACUUGAAGUGUAAGCUGCAGUUGUUGUGUCUUUAUUUUGUAAUUUUGCAAUUGAUUGAUUGGACUAUAGGAGGUUUUUUUGGGGUGUCUUCUCAGAACAACUGUCCCUCCUCACUGCCUGAUAUGGUAGUGGAUUUGACCACGCUGGGGGCCCAUGGGUGAGCUGGUCAGAGGCCCAAGAUGCAUGUGGCAGUGCUGAGAAGGACAAGUGAAGUCACUCCAACCCCUUCUCUUAGGAUUUGUAACAGGGUGUCUGGUGGUGGGUCUUGGAGCUGGGAGUUCACAUAGAUGCUGGUAGCCAUUUGAGGCCUUGUGCAAAAUGGAUAAACAGAAAAAUCCACAGGGUUGGCCAUUUUAGUGGUCAGUAUGGUGGCAAAAGUAAUAUGCAUGUGUAAUAUUGUGUGACAUAAUGAAAAAUCAUUGUUUCAAAUGUAUUCGCUGACAUUUGUCAUUAAUAGCUGCACUUGGAAAUUUUUUCAUGUCCUUUACAGU
rnacentral:lncRNA from 1 species